GAGAUAAUAAAGAAAUGAAGAGCGGGAAAGUGUACUGGCCAGUGGUCAGUCAGGAUAAAUUGAUAGAAGGAAUGGGCAGGCGUGGGUUAUGGAGAGGG